rnacentral:rRNA from 1 species
GCGUUAUCCGGAUUCACUGGGUUUAAAGGGUGCGUAGGUGGGCAGUUAAGUCAGUGGUGAAAUCUCCGGGCUCAACCCGGAAACUGCCAUUGAUACUAUCUGUCUUGAAUAUCGUGGAGGUAAGCGGAAUAUGUCAUGUAGCGGUGAAAUGCUUAGAUAUGACAUAGAACACCAAUUGCGAAGGCAGCUUACUACCCGAAUAUUGACACUGAGGCACGAAAGCGUG